rnacentral:rRNA from 1 species
UUGAACGCUGGCGGCAGGCCUAACACAUGCAAGUCGAGCGGUAGCACAGAGAGCUUGCUCUCGGGUGACGAGCGGCGGACGGGUGAGUAAUGUCUGGGAAACUGCCUGAUGGAGGGGGAUAACUACUGGAAACGGUAGCUAAUACCGCAUAAUGUCGCAAGACCAAAGUGGGGGACCUUCGGGCCUCAUGCCAUCAGAUGUGCCCAGAUGGGAUUAGCUAGUAGGUGGGGUAACGGCUCACCUAGGCGACGAUCCCUAGCUGGUCUGAGAGGAUGACCAGCCACACUGGAACUGAGACACGGUCCAGACUCCUACGGGAGGCAGCAGUGGGGAAUAUUGCACAAUGGGCGCAAGCCUGAUGCAGCCAUGCCGCGUGUGUGAAGAAGGCCUUCGGGUUGUAAAGCACUUUCAGCGGGGAGGAAGGCGGUGAGGUUAAUAACCUCAUCGAUUGACGUUACCCGCAGAAGAAGCACCGGCUAACUCCGUGCCAGCAGCCGCGGUAAUACGGAGGGUGCAAGCGUUAAUCGGAAUUACUGGGCGUAAAGCGCACGCAGGCGGUUUGUUAAGUCAGAUGUGAAAUCCCCGGGCUCAACCUGGGAACUGCAUUCGAAACUGGCAGGCUAGAGUCUUGUAGAGGGGGGUAGAAUUCCAGGUGUAGCGGUGAAAUGCGUAGAGAUCUGGAGGAAUACCGGUGGCGAAGGCGGCCCCCUGGACAAAGACUGACGCUCAGGUGCGAAAGCGUGGGGAGCAAACAGGAUUAGAGACCCUGGUAGUCCACGCCGUAAACGAUGUCGAUUUGGAGGUUGUGCCCUUGAGGCGUGGCUUCCGGAGCUAACGCGUUAAAUCGACCGCCUGGGGAGUACGGCCGCAAGGUUAAAACUCAAAUGAAUUGACGGGGGCCCGCACAAGCGGUGGAGCAUGUGGUUUAAUUCGAUGCAACGCGAAGAACCUUACCUGGUCUUGACAUCCACAGAACUUUCCAGAGAUGGAUUGGUGCCUUCGGGAACUGUGAGACAGGUGCUGCAUGGCUGUCGUCAGCUCGUGUUGUGAAAUGUUGGGUUAAGUCCCGCAACGAGCGCAACCCUUAUCCUUUGUUGCCAGCGGUUAGGCCGGGAACUCAAAGGAGACUGCCAGUGAUAAACUGGAGGAAGGUGGGGAUGACGUCAAGUCAUCAUGGCCCUUACGACCAGGGCUACACACGUGCUACAAUGGCAUAUACAAAGAGAAGCGACCUCGCGAGAGCAAGCGGACCUCAUAAAGUAUGUCGUAGUCCGGAUUGGAGUCUGCAACUCGACUCCAUGAAGUCGGAAUCGCUAGUAAUCGUAGAUCAGAAUGCUACGGUGAGUACGUUCCCGGGCCUUGUACACACCGCCCGUCACACCAUGGGAGUGGGUUGCAAAAGAAGUAGGUAGCUUAACCUUCGGGAGGGCGCUUACCACUUUGUGAUUCAUGACUGGGGUG